rnacentral:rRNA from 1 species
GACGAACGCUGGCGGCGUGCUUAACACAUGCAAGUCGAACGGAAAGGCCCUGCUUGCAGGGUACUCGAGUGGCGAACGGGUGAGUAACACGUGGGUGAUCUGCCCUGCACUUCGGGAUAAGCCUGGGAAACUGGGUCUAAUACCGGAUAGGAGCCAUUUUUAGUGUGAUGGUUGGAAAGUUUUUUCGGUGUAGGAUGAGCUCGCGGCCUAUCAGCUUGUUGGUGGGGUAAUGGCCUACCAAGGCGGCGACGGGUAGCCGGCCUGAGAGGGUGGACGGCCACAUUGGGACUGAGAUACGGCCCAGACUCCUACGGGAGGCAGCAGUGGGGAAGAUUGCACAAUGGGCGCAAGCCUGAUGCAGCGACGCCGCGUGGGGGAUGACGGCCUUCGGGUUGUAAACUCCUUUCGCUGGGGACGAAGCUUUUUGUGACGGUACCUAGAGAAGAAGCACCGGCUAACUACGUG